rnacentral:rRNA from 1 species
GAUGAACGCUGGCGGCGUGCCUAAUACAUGCAAGUCGAGCGAACAGACGAGGAGCUUGCUCCUCUGAUGUUAGCGGCGGACGGGUGAGUAACACGUGGAUAACCUACCUAUAAGACUGGGAUAACUUCGGGAAACCGGAGCUAAUACCGGAUAACAUGUUGAACCGCAUGGCUCAACAGUGAAAGACGGUCUUGCUGUCACUUAUAGAUGGAUCCGCGCCGCAUUAGCUAGUUGGUAAGGUAACGGCUUACCAAGGCAACGAUGCGUAGCCGACCUGAGAGGGUGAUCGGCCACACUGGAACUGAGACACGGUCCAGACUCCUACGGGAGGCAGCAGUAGGGAAUCUUCCGCAAUGGGCGAAAGCCUGACGGAGCAACGCCGCGUGAGUGAAGAAGGUCUUCGGAUCGUAAAACUCUGUUAUUAGGGAAGAACAAAUGUGUAAGUAACUAUGCACGUCUUGACGGUACCUAAUCAGAAAGCCACGGCUAACUACGUG